AUGACCAUACCCUCGAAAUCACUUCUAUCUUUGCUUGCUAGUUGCUCGCUCUUUUGCUAUGCCGCGAUACCUACUACUUGCUAUAUCAUGCCCCCCAUAUUGUCAUGUCAAGCCUCUAACCCACCUUUCCUAGCAAACCGUUGUUUGGCUAUGUUACCGCUUUGCUCAGCCCCUCUUAUAGCGUUGUUAGUUGCAGGUGAAGAUGGAGUUUGUUCCUUGUUGGAACAUGGAUAUUUUGUUCCUUGUUGGAACAUGGAUAUUUUGUUGGGAUAUCACCAUAUUUCUUAUUUAAUUAUUUAA
rnacentral:rRNA from 1 species